rnacentral:rRNA from 1 species
CCUACGGGUGGCAGCAGUGAGGAAUAUUGGUCAAUGGGCGGAAGCCUGAACCAGCCAAGUCGCGUGAGGGAAUAAGGCCCUACGGGUCGUAAACCUCUUUUGCCGGGGAGCAAGGGCGGGGACGUGUCCCGGCCCGGAGAGUACCCGGAGAAAAAGCAUCGGCUAACUCCGUGCCAGCAGCCGCGGUAAUACGUAGGUGGCGAGCGUUAGCCGGAAUGAUUGGGCGUAAAGGGUGCGUAGGCGGCCUGCUAAGUCUGGAGUGAAAGGUACCGGCUCAACCGGUACCGGCUCUGGAAACUGGCGGGCUAGAGAGCAGGAGAGGGCGGUGGAACUCCAUGUGUAGCGGUAAAAUGCGUAGAUAUAUGGAAGAACACCAGUGGCGAAGGCGGCCGCCUGGCCUGUUACUGACGCUGAGGCACGAAAGCGUGGGGAGCAAAUAGGAUUAGAUACCCCAGUAGUC